GCCCAUGUGUCGCGACCGUUGCUCCCCCACCCCCUCGGGUGGCGCUGGCGCAGCAGCGGGCGGCUCGAGAGGGGGCGGGGGAACGUUCCUGUCAAACUGAACGUUCUGCGCCGCUGCUCUCAAAACGCUAGCGGCCGCCGCGCCGCGCCGCGCCCUCAGCGCCUCUCCCCAGACAAAGGCGCGCGCAGGCUUCUCUCGCCGCAGCCCAAGGUGGGGCGUGAGGCGCUUGCGGCACCCCUUCCCCAGUUUACCUUCCACCCAGGCGGCGGCGGCGGCUCCUCUUCCUCCUCCUCCCCCCUUCAGUGAGACCAGAGAACUGGACCUCAAAAUGUAUACAAAGAGCAAAGUUCAAGAAACAGGCAGGUGGAGCUGCUGGGCAGCGCGGAGCGGGUGUACCUCCAGGUGGGGGUGCAGCUGCGGGGCAGCGCGGAGAACACGGCCCCCUCCCUGGGCUUUACGGCGCUGCUGGUGGCCGAGGUGGAUCAGUUCGUGCUCACCGCCCUCACCCCCGACAUGCUGGCGGCCGAGGACCUGGAGAGCCCCCCGGACCUGCUGCUCUUCAGCAUCACCGCGCCCUGGCCCAGCCCCGGCGGGUGGGAAGG